UACGUAGGGGGCGAGCGUUGUCCGGAUUUAUUGGGCGUAAAGAGCUCGUAGGCGGUUCGAUAAGUCGGACGUGAAAUCUCCACGCUCAACGUGGAGGGGCCGUUCGAUACUGUCGUGACUCGAGUCCGGUAGGGGAGUGUGGAAUUCCCGGUGUAGCGGUGAAAUGCGCAGAGAUCGGGAGGAACACCCGUAGCGAAGGCGGCACUCUGGGCCGGUACUGACGCUGAGGGAGCGAAAGC
rnacentral:rRNA from 1 species